ensembl:lncRNA HAND2-AS1 HAND2 antisense RNA 1
AAUGCAAGUGUUUAACAGAUGCUUCACUAUUAAAAUAUUUUCCCCCCAAGUCUCAAAUAUUGAAGAAUCUCUAACCAGGCUCGAAACGCCGGUCUCAGUGGCUAUUGAGUUACCCACCAAGUUACCCCGGUUAGAGCUGUUUGGGGUGGCUCACGUUAUUGCGGCAAACUUUGGAGAUGACGGCUGAGUCCUCCGGGCGAACAUGUCAAGCCGAUUGUAAAUGCUGUUAUUUCCACAUCCUUCAGGGACACCAGUCCCUACGAAGACCUUGGGCGAUUUUGAAGUGCGGGCACCUCGAUUCCCCGAAUCUGUAGUGUGGCUGGUAUCGGUGUUCCCCUGGUUUAACUAGCCUGUUUGAAGGCACAGAUCAUUCAUGGGGAUGUAUAACCGAAACCAGUCCUCUCCACCGCCUGGGGAUCUUCACUUUCGCAGUCUACGACUGCCUGUGACUCCAGAAAGACAAACUGCAGAUUGGCCAAGGUCCAGCCUAAAUGUUACCUCCUCCAGGGAGCCUUUCCAGAUACUGCUUCUCCUCUCUCCCCCAACUCCCUCCCACAAAUGAAGUUUUCUCUUCUGAAUUCCU